rnacentral:tRNA from 6 species
AGAGGUGCAGGGCCUGGACGAUGGGCCUGGAGCGUUGCUGGCGCAGCAGCCACCGUGCCUGGGGUUCGAGUUCGCGCGCCUCGC